GAUGAACGCUGGCGGCGUGCCUAAUACAUGCAAGUCGAGCGAACAGAUCAGGCGCUUGCUCCUCUGACGUUAGCGGCGGACGGGAGAGUAACACGUGGAUAACCUACCUAUAAGACUUGGAUAACUUCGGGAAACCGGAGCUAAUACCGGAUGAUAUAUUGAACCACAUGGUUCAAUAGUGAAAGACGGUUUUGCUGUCACGUAUAGAUGGAUCCGCGCCGCAUUAGCUAGUUUGUAAGGUAACGGCAUACCAAGGCAACGAUGGGUAGCCGACCUCAAAGGGUGAUCGGCCACCCUGGAAGAGAGACACGGUCCAGACACCUGCGGGAGGAAGCAGUAGGGAAUCUUACGCAAGGGGGGAGAGCCUGAUGGAGCAAAGCCGAGUGAGUGAUGAAGGUCCUCGGACCGGAAAGCGCUGUUAUUAGGGAAGAACAAAUGCGUAAGUAGCAAUGCACGUCUUGACGGUACCUAACCAGAAAGCCACGGCUAACUACGUG
rnacentral:rRNA from 1 species